rnacentral:pre_miRNA from 1 species
UAAAUACUCCCUCCGUCCGGAAAUACUUGUCAUCAAAAUGGAUAAAAGGAAAUGUAUCUAGACGUAUUUUAGUUUUAGAUACAUCUAUUUUUAUUCAUUUUGAUGACAAGUAUUUUCGGACAGAGGGAGUAGAAA